rnacentral:lncRNA from 1 species
UUUUAUCGCCAGGGCCGUGAGUUUCCACCCACGCCGCCGCCAAUACGUCGUUUCCGAGGGCAUCCUUGGCGACACUUCCACCACCGGCACCACCGGAACUGAGUAUAUAUGUAAUGGAAAUCGAUAAGGAAAGAAGAAUUGUUUUUGGAACGAAAUUAGAAUGAAAUAGAAGAAGAAGAAGAACCCGGGAGGGACUAUGAAGGCGACGUAAGGGACGAGCAUUCCGGCGGUUGGGAGCGAGAUAGCACCAAGCAAGAGAAGAUUCAUUAGCUGUCUCUUGUUCAUAUCCGGGACUCUAUCUGCAGUGAUGCUGGAAGCCAUGCAAGUGACUCUCCCUCCUUUCCCUUUUCCUAGCCCCAAACCUUUAGCCGGCUUGCUCAGCAAAGCCUUAGAUGGCGAGAACACCCCAUUUUUGCCGGAACAGAGCUGUACAUACCAAGGUUGAUUAACUAUGAAAUUAAGCAUAAACAAGCAAAAUAAUUAACUAUAAAAUUAACCAGCAAGUAACUGGUCUAUGCAUACCUG